AAGAAUGUUUCUUAACCCCACCCUGGAGACAUUACGCUGACCUCCUUACAAACAGAAACACACUGGAAUCAGGUCUACUAUCUAGAAGACAAUUUUUCAGAUGUAAUAAUUUAUCCAUCCUUUCAGCCAUUUUGAAAAGCCAUCUCUGGUUGCCAAAAGAAGUGCUUCUAAAGUGUGCCUUUUCAGAAGAUCCCAAACCCUAUGUCCUCUCCAGGGAGAACAUUUCAAGCUUAUCAUUUCUCCAAGACAAACCUCAAAGGCAGAACUCCUCUCUCCAUGAGGCAGGUGUGAUUUAGCAGAACAUAGAAGAAAAGAGGAUUAUCAUUGUAAAACAGAGGUGCUGUCCCUAAUGACGUCACAAGGCAACAUUGUAUUUUUGAGACCUAGGAAUGACACAGACAGGGC